AAAGAUGUUUCUAAAUCCUUUGUAAAGCACCUUUGAGAAAAGGCAUCAAUGAAUUUUAUGAAUAGCAAAUAUGUGAAUCUACAAUACAUUGCUAUAAAUUACAAUACUGUUACAGUAUGGGGGACUUUUAACAAAGUGCAAGAGAAAUCUGAAGACUAUUUUAUUUUUAAUCUUCAAUUAAAAUAUUAAUGAUCAUUUUCAUUAUUGCAGCUCCUUCCUCAUUAUGAGAAAUGGAAAUUAUUUCAAAUCGUUUCAAGUCAAGUUAUUCAAAUUUCACAUGAAAAGGAGAAAGCCUUGACUCCAACUGUGGACUGAAUGACCACAGACAAUUUUCAUACAAAUAUGGCCCCAGCCAGGAUCCUAAAUUUGUUAUCACAGAUUUAAUUAAAAUGUGCAGACUUCCUUUCACAACAAACUGAUGGGGGCCAGAAUCGUAGUGUACAGCUCAUCAUGAAAAUGAGAAUUGCGAUGACGGCGAACACUUUGUAUAGAAUGCUCAUUUAUUCUGUUAUAGUAAACCCCCCUCCCUGAAAUGUGCACUGUCUAUUUCAUCAUGUAGAUACAAGAAAGAAGGGAAGAAAACCCUGGGUUUUAUUCCCUAGGUGUUCUCAUUGCUUUCAGAAAAAUGCUAGUAAAUGAUACUCAGGAAUCUCAUGAAUAAAUAGGGUGGAUAGGAUUGGUAAACCAUUUUUUGGCUGGUUGAUACUGCAAAUGGUUUCUGCUUUCUGCCACUGUGACCAUUGCUCACUUGUUUAUUUUCAACUUUCUUUCUUUCCCACUCUCUUCUACCCAGCCCAUCCCUCUACAGCUAUGAUGACUCUCUCCAAGAGUUAUCCCUCCUGUCACAGUGCUGGUUUCUCUGCCCUCUGAACCACCACUCCUGACUCCACAGAUCCACCUCUUCCCAUUUGUUGUUCUUACUGUCUGCCCUGUGCUUUUUCUUUGCCCUGCAGAAGGAGCAGAAUGGUUUCCUGCCCCACAGCACAGCCCUUCCCUCACCAGGAGCUGAGCACACCAGCAUGGAGUGAUGCAGUGAGCACUGUCUCCUGUCCUCUGCAGGACAAUUUGCCCAGUUCCUCUCAGGAAGAGAAAGCUUGCAGAGGGAAUGUCUGCAGGUUUUCUGCUUCUAAUGCUUCUCUCACCUGGGAGUGAAACAAUUAGCAGCGGGCAAAAACAGCAACAGACUUCAAGUAACCCGCUCACCAGUAAGGCAAGAUCCACAAUCUGUUCCCAGCAACCCGUGGUUAUGGCACCCAGACGAGCAGAUGGUGGUAACAGCCAGGCCAUGGACAAGAAAAUAAUAGAAGUUUAAUGGGACCAGAGAGGGAUGAAAAUAGCAUAAUUCCGAUCACUAGGCAACACUGUGCGGGGAGAAGGCAGCCCCUGAUUUUCUGAACCCUGCUCUUUCCACUGCUCGUGCAUUUACAUUGGUCCUGUGUCAUGACUAUGGAAGGCAAAAUCUUCCCCCUGUCUUGUGGUCCCUGUUUUCCCUGCAGCUACUGGAGCCACAGAGAAGGAAGGAAGAAAGGAAGAUAGUUUCAAUGCCCCAGUGAAGAUGAGAGCUUGUUGGUUCUACUUGAGUGCAUGAAAUAGUUUAACAGCUAACUUGGAUACAAGCCAGCUUCCCUGUGUAUGUAGCUCACCUGAAUCAACUGUGAUGAGUUUACUAGGAGUGGGUAAGGGAACCAGUUGGCUCCAUUCUUGUCCUGACAGUGCCACUAGUUCAUUGAGUGACCUUCAGGUUGUUACUUCAUCUCUCAGCGGCAACUUCUCUCUUGUUUGACUGAGGUAAAUCUCCUUCCCACAAAGUCUCUUGCUUUGUGUAGGUAUUGGUAUAUAACAUCCAGAAGGGGUGCCAACUCUUUACAAGGGUAGAUAAUGGCAGAAAGAGGGGAAAUGGUUUUAAGUUGAGGAAGGGAAGAUUUAGGUUAGAUAUCAGGGGG